rnacentral:rRNA from 1 species
GGAAUUUUCCGCAAUGGGCGAAAGCCUGACGGAGCAAUACCGCGUGAGGGAAGAAGGCUCUUGGGUUGUAAACCUCUUUUCUGAGGGAAGAAAAAAAUGACGGUACCUCAGGAAUCAGCAUCGGCUAACUCCGUGCCAGCAGCCGCGGUAAUACGGAGGAUGCAAGCGUUAUCCGGAAUGAUUGGGCGUAAAGCGUCCGCAGGUGGCAAUUCAAGUCUGCGGUUAAAGGUUCUGGCUCAACCAGAGACAGGCCGUGGAAACUGAAUAGCUAGAGUAUGGUAGGGGCAGAGGGAAUUCCCAGUGUAGCGGUGAAAUGCGUAGAGAUUGGGAAGAACACCGGUGGCGAAAGCGCUCUGCUAGGCCAAAACUGACACUGAGGGACGAAAGCUAGGGGAGCGAAUGGGAUUAGAUACCCCAGUAGUCCUAGCCGUAAACGAUGGAUACUAGGUGUAGCUUGUAUCGACCCAAGCUGUGCCGUAGCUAACGCGUUAAGUAUCCCGCCUGGGGAGUACGCGCGCAAGCGUGAAACUCAAAGGAAUUGACGGGGGCCCGCACAAGC